GAAAUGCGAUAAGUAAUGUGAAUUGCAGAAUUCAGUGAAUCAUCGAAUCUUUGAACGCACAUUGCGCCCGCCAGUAUUCUGGCGGGCAUGCCUGUUCGAGCGUCAUUACAACCCUCAGGCCCCCGGGCCUGGCGUUGGGGAUCGGCGGAAGCCCCCUUCGGGCACAACGCCGUCCCCCAAAUACAGUGGCGGUCCCGCCGCAGCUUCCAUUGCGUAGUAGCUAACACCUCGCAACUGGAGAGCGGCGCGGCCACGCCGUAAAACACCCAACUUCUGAAUGUUGACCUCGAAUCAGGUAGGAAUACCCGCUGAACUUAAGC
rnacentral:misc_RNA from 1 species